AGAGCGACGGCGGCCGGCUGCGACCGCGGCGGAGGCCUCGGCUCUUGAGCGUGACGCCCCGACGGCGAGGACGGCGGCGACUCGCGUCACUAACGUGACUGACGGACGGCCGUGACGGAGGCGAGGCCCGGUGGUGCCGGCCGCGGGUCAUCGGUCGGGUGGCCGAGGUCAAAGGUCACCGCCUCACACGGAUUACCGGGGGAAUCCCGGAGACCAGCAGCGAUAGAGGACGACCCGUCUGUCAUCACUCACGGGGUCAGCAGACAUGAGAUCAAGACGGGUGCUACUCUUCACAGCAUGUGUGCUUCUUGCUGUCUGCUGCAACGGAGUUCCCCAAUCCGCAAUGAGAAGCACACGACAGGAGCGCGCCAGAGGCCGCGCGAGUGACAUCACGACGUCUCCGUCCAACAGCACCGGCCGCGCCGCCGAACCGGCGGCGGGGAGCCGGGCGGGCCAGUCGCGCGGCCUCUUCAAGGAGCUGG